AUUGGGGGAGCUUGGAACGGCCAGGCUGAGAGGGCAACGCUGAUGUUGUCGACCCAUUAAAUACCUGAUCUGGGUAAUGCCAGCGGAGGGAUCUCAAUAAAA
rnacentral:ncRNA from 1 species